rnacentral:lncRNA from 1 species
UUGUCUUUCUUACCCUUGGAUUCAUCUUUCUGUUUUGUUUCUUUAUCUGCCUUCUUCUUCUUUUCCUCUGUUCCUGAUUCAUCCUUCUCUUUCUUCUUCUUCUUUUUACCAUCUUCUUCCUCUAACUCCUCCUUUUCUUGUGAAACAUCCUCAUGUUUCUUCUCUUUAUCUUCCUUCUUCUUCUUUCCCUCUGAUCCUGAUUCAUCCUUCUCUUUCUUCUUCUUCUUUUUAUCAUCUUCUUCUUCUAACUCUUUUUCUUGUGAUACAUCCUCAUGUUUCUUCUCUUUAUCUUCCUUCUUCUUGUUUUGUUUUGAUCCUGAUUCAUCCUUCUCUUUCUUCUUCUUCUUUUUACCAUCUUCUUCUUCUAACUCCUCCUUUUGUUCUGAUACAUCCUCAUGUUUCUUCUCUUUAUCAGUUUUCUUAUCCUUUUCCUCUGAUCCUGAUUCAUCCUUCUCUUUCUUCUUCUUCUUCUUUUUAUCAUCUUCUUCUUCUAACUCCUUUUGUUGUGAUACAUCCUCAUGUUUCUUCUCUUUAUCAUCUUUCUUCUUCUUUUCCUCUGUUCCUGAUUCAUCCUUCUCUUUCUUCUUCUUCUUCUUUUUACCAUCUUCUUCCUCUAACUCCUCCUUUUGUUGUGAUACAUCCUCAUGUUUCUUCUCUUU